GACGAACGCUGGCGGCGUGCCUAAUACAUGCAAGUCGAACGCUUCUUUCCUCCCGAGUGCUUGCACUCAAUUGGAAAGAGGAGUGGCGGACGGGUGAGUAACACGUGGGUAACCUACCCAUCAGAGGGGGAUGACACUUGGAAACAGGUGCUAAUACCGCAUAACAGUUUAUGCCGCAUGGCAUAAGAGUGAAAGGCGCUUUCGGGUGUCGCUGAUGGAUGGACCCGCGGUGCAUUAGCUAGUUGGUGAGGUAACGGCUCACCAAGGCCACGAUGCAUAGCCGACCUGAGAGGGUGAUCGGACACACUGGGACUGAGACACGGCCCAGACUCCUACGGGAGGCAGCAGUAGGGAAUCUUCGGCAAUGGACGAAAGUCUGACCGAGCAACGCCGCGUGAGUGAAGAAGGUGUUCGGAUCGUAAAACUCUGUUGUUAGAGAAGAACAAGGACGUUAGUAACUGAACGUCCCCUGACGGUAUCUAACCAGAAAGCCACGGCUAACUACGUG
rnacentral:rRNA from 1 species